GGCUAUGCCUCAAUUGAUAAAGUGAACUAAUUGCCUACUUCAAAAGCAGUUUUGCAUGAAAGUCAACAUCUAAUUGGAAUUUACAAUGCCCGAUAUUUCUACACAUCUGCCACAAAUUUUAUGGAAAACAAUAUUUAUAGAAACUGAACAUACCUUGGUUAAACGUAUAUGAAAUAGACAACCAUCAUCGAAGAACAUCAACCAGCUGUCGGCAACAUGCAGGUUGACUGAGGAAUUUUCCGGUGUGUCUUUUUAUGGACUGUACUCCGUCUUAGCACUAUCCUCAAGUUUUACCCGAGAGGC